GAUUUGGUUAUUUUGAGAUUGUGGAUUUUCUAUCGGUGGUCUUUUUAAUGAACCACCAAAAUAUUGAGAUUCACCUCUCUUUGAAAUAAUGGUUUUGUGCUUAAAUAGGAAUAUUUUUCUUGUUCUGGGGAUGAAGUCUGGCAGAUUCGGUAUGCAUUGCAUUUGGAUUUUGGUGCACCCACAUAUGCUUUUCUCUGGUUAAUUUAUAGAGUUUUUUGUAUGAAUAUCCUUCUAAAUAUCGGAUUUUGUAUGAAUAUCCUUCUCAUCAAAAGUGCCAUUUAAUGAAACAAAGUGCCAAUUUAAAGUGAAAUUGAUGUAAGGCAACUGGGUCUCUCCUUAGCACCUUGCUCUUUAUUCCUUUAGAUAUCUUCUUCUUUCUAUCUAUUUUAUUGAAUCAGUACGGUUAGAACCUAAACUUUUUUUUCUUCUUUUAAUUUAAUGUAAGGAACUUGUCACAAUGGUUGUACCCUUUGCCUAGCAACCAAAAAAAAUAAUAAUCUAGAUUCAAAUAUCAAAUGAUGCAUAUCCAAACAUUUUAGCCUAGAUAUUUAUAAUAUGGAUGGACCUCCCUUAUUUUCUUUCUCUAAAAGAAUUCUAAAAAAAUAUAUUCUAAAAAACUAUAGAUACACCCCUGCUAGCCUGGGGCACACUUAGAUCCCAAAAAUUUGAAAAAUAUCAAUUAGCCAUCAAGACUUUCAAUCUGUUGCAAUAUG
rnacentral:lncRNA from 1 species